ACGCACGCUGGCGGCGUGCUUAACACAUGCAAGUCGCACGGAAAGGCCCUGCUUUUGUGGGGUGCUCGAGUGGCGAACGGGUGAGUAACACGUGAGUAACCUGCCCUUGACUUUGGGAUAACUUCAGGAAACUGGGGCUAAUACCGGAUAGGAGCUCCUGCUGCAUGGUGGGGGUUGGAAAGUUUCGGCGGUUGGGGAUGGACUCGCGGCUUAUCAGCUUGUUGGUGGGGUAGUGGCUUACCAAGGCUUUGACGGGUAGCCGGCCUGAGAGGGUGACCGGCCACAUUGGGACUGAGAUACGGCCCAGACUCCUACGGGAGGCAGUAGUGGGGAAUAUUGCACAAUGGGCGGAAGCCUGAUGCAGCAACGCCGCGUGCGGGAUGACGGCCUUCGGGUUGUAAACCGCUUUCGCCUGUGACGAAGCGUGAGUGACGGUAAUGGGUAAAGAAGCACCGGCUAACUACGUG
rnacentral:rRNA from 1 species